GAUGAACGCUGGCGGCGUGCCUAAUACAUGCAAGUCGAGCGAACAGACCAGGAGCUUGCUCCUCCGACGUUAGCGGCGGACGGGUGAGUAACACGUGGAUAACCUACCUACAAGACUGGGAUAACUUCGGGAAACCGGAGCUACUACCGGAUAAUAUAUUGAACCGCAUGGUUCAAUCGUGAAAUACGGUUUUUCUUUCACUUAUAGACGGAUCCGCGCCGCAUUAGCUAGUUGGUAAGGUAACGGCUUACCAAGGCAACGAUGCUUAGCCGACCUGAGAGGGUGAUCGGCCACACGGGAACUGAGACACGGUCCAGACACCUACGGGGGGCAGCAGUAGAGAAUCUUACGCAAUGGGCGAAAGCCUGACGGAGCAACGCGGCGGGAGUGAUGAAGGUCUUCGGAUCGUAAAACUCUGUUAUUAGGGAAGAACAAAUGUGUAAGUAACUAUGCACGUCUUGACGGUACCUAAUCAGAAAGCCACGGCUAACUACGUG
rnacentral:rRNA from 1 species